UAAGAAGGGGGCUAGCGUUGUUCGGCAUUACUGGGCGUAACGCGCACGUAGGCGGAUAUUUAAGUCAGGGGUGAAAUCCCGCAGCUCAACUGCGGAACUGCCUUUGAUACUGGGUAUCUCGAGUAUGGAAGAGGUGAGUGGAAUUCCGAGUGUAGAGGUGAAAUUCGUAGAUAUUCGGAGGAACACCAGUGGCGAAGGCGGCUCACUGGUCCAUUACUGACGCGGAGGUGCGAAAGCGGGGGGAGCACACAGGAUUCGAUAACAGCGUAGUCC
rnacentral:rRNA from 1 species